rnacentral:rRNA from 1 species
GACGAACGCUGGCGGCGUGCCUAAUACAUGCAAGUCGAGCGGGUUUAUCCUUCGGGGUAAGCUAGCGGCGGGCGGGUGAGUAACACGUAGGCAACCUGCCUUCAAGAUCGGGAUAACUAUCGGAAACGAUAGCUAAGACCGGAUAGCUGGUUUUCUCGCAUGAGAGAAUCAUGAAACACGGAGCAAUCUGUGGCUUGAAGAUGGGCCUGCGGCGCAUUAGCUAGUUGGUGAGGUAACGGCUCACCAAGGCGACGAUGCGUAGCCGACCUGAGAGGGUGAACGGCCACACUGGGACUGAGACACGGCCCAGACUCCUACGGGAGGCAGCAGUAGGGAAUCUUCCGCAAUGGACGCAAGUCUGACGGAGCAACGCCGCGUGAGUGAUGAAGGUUUUCGGAUCGUAAAGCUCUGUUGCCCUAGACGAGCAGCAUCAGGAGUAACUGCCUGUUGUGUGACGGUAUAGGAGAAGAAAGCCCCGGCUAACUACGUGCCAGCCGCCGCGGUAAGAC